UUUAUGAAGAGUUUGAUCCUGGCUCAGGAUGAACGCUGGCGGCGUGCCUAAUACAUGCAAGUCGAGCGAACGGACGAGAAGCUUGCUUCUCUGAUGUUAGCGGCGGACGGGUGAGUAACACGUGGAUAACCUACCUAUAAGACUGGGAUAACUUCGGGAAACCGGAGCUAAUACCGGAUAAUAUUUUGAACCGCAUGGUUCAAAAGUGAAAGACGGUCUUGCUGUCACUUAUAGAUGGAUCCGCGCUGCAUUAGCUAGUUGGUAAGGUAACGGCUUACCAAGGCAACGAUGCAUAGCCGACCUGAGAGGGUGAUCGGCCACACUGGAACUGAGACACGGUCCAGACUCCUACGGGAGGCAGCAGUAGGGAAUCUUCCGCAAUGGGCGAAAGCCUGACGGAGCAACGCCGCGUGAGUGAUGAAGGUCUUCGGAUCGUAAAACUCUGUUAUUAGGGAAGAACAUAUGUGUAAGUAACUGUGCACAUCUUGACGGUACCUAAUCAGAAAGCCACGGCUAACUACGUGCCAGCAGCCGCGGUAAUACGUAGGUGGCAAGCGUUAUCCGGAAUUAUUGGGCGUAAAGCGCGCGUAGGCGGUUUUUUAAGUCUGAUGUGAAAGCCCACGGCUCAACCGUGGAGGGUCAUUGGAAACUGGAAAACUUGAGUGCAGAAGAGGAAAGUGGAAUUCCAUGUGUAGCGGUGAAAUGCGCAGAGAUAUGGAGGAACACCAGUGGCGAAGGCGACUUUCUGGUCUGUAACUGACGCUGAUGUGCGAAAGCGUGGGGAUCAAACAGGAUUAGAUACCCUGGUAGUCCACGCCGUAAACGAUGAGUGCUAAGUGUUAGGGGGUUUCCGCCCCUUAGUGCUGCAGCUAACGCAUUAAGCACUCCGCCUGGGGAGUACGACCGCAAGGUUGAAACUCAAAGGAAUUGACGGGGACCCGCACAAGCGGUGGAGCAUGUGGUUUAAUUCGAAGCAACGCGAAGAACCUUACCAAAUCUUGACAUCCUUUGACAACUCUAGAGAUAGAGCCUUCCCCUUCGGGGGACAAAGUGACAGGUGGUGCAUGGUUGUCGUCAGCUCGUGUCGUGAGAUGUUGGGUUAAGUCCCGCAACGAGCGCAACCCUUAAGCUUAGUUGCCAUCAUUAAGUUGGGCACUCUAAGUUGACUGCCGGUGACAAACCGGAGGAAGGUGGGGAUGACGUCAAAUCAUCAUGCCCCUUAUGAUUUGGGCUACACACGUGCUACAAUGGACAAUACAAAGGGCAGCGAAACCGCGAGGUCAAGCAAAUCCCAUAAAGUUGUUCUCAGUUCGGAUUGUAGUCUGCAACUCGACUACAUGAAGCUGGAAUCGCUAGUAAUCGUAGAUCAGCAUGCUACGGUGAAUACGUUCCCGGGUCUUGUACACACCGCCCGUCACACCACGAGAGUUUGUAACACCCGAAGCCGGUGGAGUAACCUUUUAGGAGCUAGCCGUCGAAGGUGGGACAAAUGAUUGGGGUGAAGUCGUAACAAGGUAGCCGUAUCGGAAGGUGCGGCUGGAUCACCUCCUUUCU
rnacentral:rRNA from 1 species